rfam:Pseudozyma hubeiensis SY62 DNA, scaffold: PHS10.
GGCGCUUUGGCGGAGUGGUUAUCGCGUGGCACUAGAAUUUCCGGAUUCUAGAGUAUCUUCCUACUCAACAACAAUAUGCCAUUCCCUCUGGGAGCAUAGGUUCAAAUCCUGUAGGCGUCG